CUAAAUUGCGCAUUGUAGCAGAGGGAAACAAGCUGGUGGUGGGAGCGGAUAGAAGAAAAUGAAGACGGCUCCAAACCUGGGGAGCGCGCAAGAAGAUGACACAAACUUUUGAAAUAACAUGAACACGGACAAGGGGAGUCAGAGGCAGAAGAGAAGGUGUUGUGAUGACAGAAGCAGAGAUCUGAGUGACUCACUUUGAAGAUGGAGGAAGAGGUCACAGGCCAAGUGAUACAGAUGCCAGGAGAAGCUGAAAACAGGAGGAAAUGGAUUCUUCCCUCAGAGCUUCUGGAAAAGAUCAGUCUUGCUGAUAACUUGACUUUAGCCCACUGAAACUGAUUUUGAACUUUUGACUUCCAGAACUACAGGGUCUCAUUAUUGUUGCCCAGACUCAUCUCAAACUCCUGGCUCAAAUGAUCCUCCCACCUCAGCCUCCUGUAUAGCUGGGAUUACAGGUGCAUGCCACCAUGUCCAGCUUUACUAAAUAAAUGGUCACAUAUCCAUCUCUGAGUCUGUCACUGGGAGAAUGGGAUGCUUUUUUGGACCAGGCCUGACUUACAUACCCAUCUGGGACAAUAGGACUUUCUAUGGGGACAACUUCAUCUGUACAUGGACAGAGACUGAAGAAUGGAGGCUGGAGUGCAGUGGUGCAAUCAUGGCUCACUACAACCCCGACCUCCUGGGCUCAAGCCAUCCUCCUGCCUCAGCCUCUCAAGUAGCUGGGACUACAGGUGCGUGCCACCAUGCCUAGCUAAUUUUUAAAUUUUUUUGUAGAGACAAGGUCUCACCAUCUUGCCCAGGCUGGUCUUGAACUCCUGAGCUCAAGUGUUCCUCCUGCAUCAGCCACCCAAAAUGUUGGAAUUACAGGUGUGAACCACCGUGCCUGGCCUACAAUUUUUGAAUACAUAUUUUGAGGAAAAAUUAAAAUUAGAAACGUAGCAAGAGUUUCUUUACGUACUUCCUUUACUUAUAUCCUAAGUGAUAUUCAAUUUCAAAGUCAUUCUAGUUGUCAAAAGAUAUUUCUUCAGCAAAUACUGCUAUGACAGUUACUCUUGAUUUCUUAGAUCAUUUUUCACUGAAGAGAACAGAAAAGGUAAGGGAGGAUGAAAGCUGUACCUGGACUAUAAGGAAAGUAAAUAUUAUCGAGGGCUGAAUUUAUUGUUCAUUUUCUUUCCUGCUUGAUCAAUGCUCCUUUCCUGGUAUCAUGUUCUCCAAACUUCAGGUGAAUGGAUCAACCUUUUCCCUAUUCUCGGUUUGGAGAAAGUGUUUUCCUGGGUUAUAUUUUUCAUUUAUAAGAUAUCCCCACCUAUUGAAGGUGGGGGAUUGGGAUGAGGCUAUUUUUGCUUCAGAACUCAUUGGCCAUUCCAUUGUUCCUCAAGAGUGGCUCCACCAUGCAAAGUGAGGGCUGGCUGGUUCUGGAGCUGGUUUUUCUCGGGCCCUACCGUGCCCUCUACACCUCACCUGUGUGCCCCGCUGAGAGCCUGCUUAGGCUUCAAGGCCAACUCAGAUGCCCUAACUGGAAAUCUCUUGAUCUUGCCUGGUAUUUAAUUCCACUUCUUUUUGAAAACUAAUUUUCCUUUGCAGAAACACCACUCCCCUACCUCAGUCACUAUGGCUUGGUUGGGGCUGAUUCCCUUCUCUCUCUCCAAGGGUAAACAUACGACCCAGGCCCAACUAAGCCUGCAUAAUCCACCCCUUCAGUUACAGUGGUUGGCUCAUAGACAGGCAACUAAGCCGGUCCAGUGACAUGCAGCCCUGGGUCUUCUGCUGGGAUUAAUGGGAAGGAGGUGACCCUUUCCAGUAGGCUGAAUCCCAGUUUGUGUGAUUUCAAAGACAAUGAGGUAGUACAGAAAUUGUCUCAUCAGCUCGGGGAAGUGAGAAUUUACUAACCCCCUCCUCAGGGAUUGGAGGGGGCACAGAGAAAUGAUGGUGGGAGUUUGUAGUCUGAGAUUGAAACCAGGCUUUGAAUAAUCUGAGUUGUGCUAGUUGAAGUCAUGGAGAAAUAGCAGAAAAGCCUCCGUCUGAACAUUGAGAAACACCUUGAGAAAACAGAGGAGCUCAAAGAGGAACUUGCAGAAGGCACCAGGGGUAUGGUGGGCACAGUUUCCAGGCAGCCUUCAAUCAUCCCUAUCUCCUGAUAGUUACACCCUGUGUCCUACUCUCCUUUUGAGUGUGGCUAGAUCUAGUGACUGACUUCUUUUAAUUUUUUUUUUUUUUUUUGAAUUUUUACUUUUUGGAGAUAGGGUCUUGCUCUGUCACCCAGGCUGGAGUGCAGUGGGGCAAUCAUGGCUCACUGCAGCCUUGACCUCCCAGGCUCAAGAGAUUCUCCUACCUCAGCCUCCUGAGUAGCUGGGACCACAGGCAAGUGCCAUCUCACCUGGCUAAUUUUUAUAUUUUUUGUGGAGACAGGGUCUUGCCAUGUUUCCCAGGCUGGUUUCAAGCUCCUGAGCUCAAGCUAUCCACUUGCCUCAGCCUCCCAAAUUGCUGAGAUUAGAAGAAUGAGCCACUGUGCCUGUGACUUACUUCUAACCCACAGAAUAGAGCAACAGUGAGAGGAUGUCAAUUCUGUGAUAGAUUGCAAAAUAUUGUAAGUUCCUAGCAGUCUUUCUCAUUGGUUUCAAUAAAAAAAAGCUGCUGUGCUGGAGGGACCCAUGAGGCAAAGAACUGAGAGCAGCCUUUAGCUAACAGCCGGCAAGGAAUGAGGUGCUUGGUCCAGCAAUCACAGAGAAACUGAAUCCUGCUGAUGAUCAUGAGGGUGAGCUUGGAAGCAGAUUCUGUCCCAGAUGAACUUUGAUUGUGUCUUGUUAGAAACCCUGGACCAACUCCUUGAUUGCACCUGUGAGAGGCCCUGAAGCGGAGGGCCCAGCUAAGGUGUGUCUGGAUUUCUGACCCACAGAAACUGAGAUCAUAAAUGUGUGGUUUUAAGCCCUACUCCAGCACUUUCACAGUCAUUUACGGCAUCUGCAGAGCAGUGAAAAAUUUGAAUUGCCUGAGAUACAUGCUCCCUGCUGAAGUCGCACAAGAUGGCAAGGAUAUUGCUGUUGGCUCAUAGGAUGUGAACAGUGGUGUUGAGAUUACCCUCAUUUGGCUGAUGAUGUCAUUGAGGCCCAGAGAAGAUUCAUGCUGAGCUCGACUACCUCCGUGAGAAAUGACUCUCCUGUAGGGCUCGAUGACCUUCAUGUCAAUGCGCUGCUCUUGUUCUCCAAUGACC
rnacentral:lncRNA from 10 species